UACGAAGGGGGCUAGCGUUGCUCGGAAUCACUGGGCGUAAAGCGCACGUAGGCGGAUCUUUAAGUCAGGGGUGAAAUCCUGGAGCUCAACUCCAGAACUGCCUUCGAUACUGGCGAGCUCGAGUUCGGGAGAGGUGAGUGGAACUGCGAGUGUAGAGGUGAAAUUCGUAGAUAUUCGCAAGAACACCAGUGGCGAAGGCGGCUCACUGGCCCGGUAUGACGCUGAGGUGCGAAGCGUGGGGAGCAAACAGG
rnacentral:rRNA from 1 species